GCCCUGCCGUCUCAGUCAGACGGGACUCCCCCUCCCCGCGCGGUCGCCACAGCCUCCGCCUCCUUCCUCAGCACCAGCGGCCAAACCCGCCGCGGCCGGCGCCAUCUUGGGAGUGACGGAUCCAGCUAUGGCCAACAGACUUGUUUCUUCCUCCCCGGCACUGCCUGCAGACCUAGCCUUGCCAGAGCUUGGUGCAGUGGUCUGAGCUGAGAUCCGCCCACCAAAGUCACUGGGAUUCUGCAGGAAACCCCCUGAGCGGUUAGCAACCACCAGUAGCUUUCAGUCCCGAGACAGAAGGUCAGAGAAAAGGGGGAAUUCAGAGGGGUUCUCUGAAAAGCGCGUUGAUAAAACAGCUAUUGUUAACUGAAGGGGUGUCCAUUACAUUGAUUAAUUGGAUAUGGCCUACUUAAACUAGACUACAGCUCCACCGUUAAUGGCCAUUGGCAAGAUGCCUUUGAAAAAUGUGGAUAAUAAAGGUUGAUUACCUCUACAGGGUUAUUCAGAAAUGUAAAGCGUAUGCCUAAAAAGUAUUGAAUAAUGUUAGCUGGACUUCUACGGACAAAUGAAGAAAAUAGGACCUUUAAAAAAAAAUCCCUCUAGGUUCAAGUUAAUCUAUGCAAAACAGGCUUCAUCUUUUUUACUAACCGAGAUUACAGUUUUAUUUUAUACCUCCACUCCUUCUCUUGGACUCAUUCAUCCAGACAACAUUGUUGGAAAACCCAGCAGAGGGGACACAAUAGUCAGGGAACCAGAAAAGGUCUACUUUCAGGGAGUUGAGGUCUAGUGGGAGAAGCUCAACAAAAAGCAAAUAUACUUCACUCUUGGAGAAGAAACAUAAAGGUUAUAGGAAGAAUUCUGGGUAACAGAUAACAGGAUGGUUUUUGAAACCAGAGUGGUCAAGGCUAUGCCUCUCUGAAGUGCAGGAAGAAGCCAGUAAUGGGAGAAAGGCCCCAGAGAAUUGAGUAAAGCAAAGAGAUCGUGAAGAGAACCUGCAAUGGGGAGGAGCUUGGCAUUUGGAACUGAGAGGAAUCUGUGUUGAUGAGAAAUGUGUCUUGCCUGGAGAAGCCUCACAUUAGAUUGGAGAGGGAGUUGAGAGCUCAGUUGUAAGGGCCUAGAAAUACAUAGAAACAAGACGAGCCUUUAUUCUAACUGCAGGCUGAAGCCACUGAAUGGUAAGUAGGGAACAAAGUGGUUGGGAACAGUGAAUGGUGCUUGAAGGAUAACAUCUAUAUUUAUAUUCUAGACAACAUAUGGACCAGAGAACCUGAUUGAGAGGUUUUUUUAAAUCUUAAGUUUGAGUCCCUUCAACACUGAGUUCACCAAAUAUAGUUCAGAUUGUUUAAAGAUGUGUGGGUAUCACAUAAUAUUAUGUAGAUAAAAAUACACUAAUUUCACCGAAAAUUAUUAAAUAAUACCAUUUUCUAUCCCCACCUCCCACGCAGGGUUUCUUUGUGUAGCCCUGACUGCCCUGGAACUUGCUCUGUAGAACAGUCUGGUCUCAAACUCAGAGACCCACUUUUCUCUGCCUCCCUAGUUCUGAAGGGAUUAGAGGCCUGGCUUAAUACCAUUUAUUUUUAAGCAUUUUAUAUAGCACUUUGUUAUAAUACAUAGUUACCUGUACAAAUUGAUAUUAUUUGAUGUGUAUUUUAUCCUUUUUUUUAUUGAUUUCAGAUAGUAAUCCAAGCUAACCACAGUCUCAGUCACUUUGAUACUGUAAUACCAAUGUGUAAUGUUUGAUAAUCCCAAAUGUAUUUGUAAUAAGUAUUUCUCUUUAUUAUUAUUUUAUGUCCAUCACAUGCAUGCAACACCUGAGGACAUCAAACAAAAACUGAAGUCUUUUAACCCUGGAUAGAUCCUUCCUCUCUGCUGCCAAUGUCAGCCAUGAUGUUUUUAUCCCCAGUGUGAGGGCAUGGCUAUCUGCCAAUCAGUGGGUGAUAGAGAGAGUCUGUAUCAUGAAGGGUACAAAUAAACAUUUGGGGG